rnacentral:rRNA from 1 species
UACGUAGGUGGCAAGCGUUGUCCGGAUUUAUUGGGUUUAAAGGGUGCGUAGGCGGAAUGAUAAGUCAGUGGUGAAAGCCUGCAGCUUAACUGCAGAACUGCCAUUGAUACUGUCAAUCUUGAGUACAUUUGAUGUGGGCGGAAUGUGUCAUGUAGCGGUGAAAUGCUUAGAUAUGACACAGAACACCGAUUGCGAAGGCAGCUCACAAAACUGUAACUGACGCUGAGGCACGAAAAGCGUGGGUAUCAAAACAGG